UGUGGCUCAAGCGAUAAUGCACUCGCCUGGCAUGCGUGCGGCCCGGAUUCGAUCCUCAGCACCACGUACAAACAAAGAUGUUGUGUCCGCCGAUAAUUAAAAAAUAAAUAUUAAAAAAAAAAAGAAUGUGAUUCAAAAUUGGGUGGUGACCUGAAUAGACAAGCAAAACACAACUACAUGAAAAAAUGCUCAACAUCACUAAUUGUCAGGGGCCUGCAAAUGAAAACCACAAUGAGAGAGUACCUCUCCCUAGUUAGAAUGGUUAUUAAUGAAAAAUAAAAAAAAGAUUAAAAAAAUUCUGGUGAGGUUUCAGAGAAAGGGAAAUUCUUAUAUACUGUUGGUAGAAACAUAAGUUAGUAUGGCCAUUGUGGAAAACAGUAUGGCGGUUCCUCCAAAAACUGGAAAUAGAACUACAUGUGAUUCAGCAAUCACUACUUGGUGUAUAUCCAAAGGAACUGAAAUAAUUAUGCCAAAGAGAGAUCUGCACUCCAUGUUUAUUACAGCACUAUUCACAAUAACCAAGUAAUGGAUUCAACCUAGGUGUCCAUUGGUGGAUAAGUAAAGAAAAUGUGGCAUAUGUACACAAUGGAAUAUUGUUCAGCCACAAAAAAGAACAAAAUUAUGUCACGGGUGGCACCUUGGAUGGAACUGGAAGAAAGACCCUGUGCAUAGGAAGACAAAGGCUGCAUUUUCUCAUUUCCAGGUGGGAGCUAAAAGUUGAUGUGGAAGAAGUAGGGAAAUAGAAUAGUGGUUACCAGAGCCUGAGGAAGGUGUGGGGGAGGGAGGAACGGAGAGAGACAGGGUACAUGGGUGCAGGUGGAUUGAAGGAAACAGUUCCAGUGGUCUGUAGCAUGGUAGGGUAACUAUGGCUGAUGACACUUAAAUGAGUAUUUCAAAAUAACAGCAGAGAGGAUUCUGAAUGUUCCCAACAUGAAGACAUGAUAAAUGUCUGAGGUAAUAGACAUCAAUUGCUCUCAUCUGAUCAUUAUACAUUGUGUACAUGAUUUGAAAUGUUACGUUGUACCCAUAACUAUAUACAGUUACUAUGUGUCAAUUAAAAGUAUAUUAAUAACUAUGCUCACCA
rnacentral:lncRNA from 1 species